AUUGAACGCUGGCGGCAGGCCUAACACAUGCAAGUCGAGCGGAGCGGCGGACGGGUGAGUAAUGCCUAGGAAUCUGCCUGGUCGUGGGGGAUAACGUCCGGAAACGGGCGCUAAUACCGCAUACUAUCAGAUCAGCCUAUGUCGGAUUAGGUAGUUGGUGAGGUAAAGGCUCACCAAGCCGACGAUCUCUAGCUGGUCUGAGAGGAUGACCAGCCACACUGGGACUGAGACACGGCCCAGACUCCUACGGGAGGCAGCAGUGGGGAAUAUUGGGCAAUGGGGGAAACCCUGACGCAGCCAUGCCGCGUGAAGGAAGAAGGCCUUCGGGUUGUAAAGUUCUUUCGGUAGCGAGGCGUUACCCGCAGAAGAAGCACCGGCUAACUACGUGCCAGCAGCCGCGGUAAUUC
rnacentral:rRNA from 1 species